rnacentral:rRNA from 1 species
CGGGACGGGUGAGUAAUGUAUGGGGAUCUGCCUGAUGGCGGGGGAUAACUACUGGAAACGGUAGCUAAUACCGCAUAAUGUCUGCGGACCAAAGCGGGGGACCUCCGGGCCUCGCGCCAUCAGAUGAACCCAUAUGGGAUUAGCUAGUAGGUAAGGUAACGGCUUACCUAGGCGACGAUCCCUAGCUGGUCUGAGAGGAUGACCAGCCACACUGGAACUGAGACACGGCCCAG